AAGGUGGCAAUUUUCUAGAAAGCGAGUUUUGUAAUUAACCGAAAUUGAAUCAUGCAAUGCUUUUUAAAGAGUUUACAGAUUUUGAAAUCCAAAGAAAGGUCUUCAUCCCCACACACAGGGAAUGCUUUUAAAGUUCUCUCAAAUAAUAUAUACGACUUCGAUCUGAAAUCAUAACAAUCAAUAUAUUUUUUACGAUCUUGGAAACUGUGAUGUGUUUUAAAUUGAUUUUAUGGCCACUGCCUUGGCCCUUUGGAGGUUUUAAAAGUGCGUUAUAAACUGCCAGCCAAUGGAGUUGAGCACAUUACUGCAAAGCAUUUACAAUGCACUUGACGCAACUUCUCGUCGGAAUGAUCUUUUUACUCGCCAUACCAUGCCACUAUGGAAAAAGAAUUUACGGCACAGAAGAGCAAACUAGCAUCAAAUAUCCAUGGACUCCGAAGACUUCAACGCACAAAACACCAUAUAAAAUAUCUGGAGAUAUUUGAACAAACAACAUUUAAAUAUAAAAUUAAAUUGGUCGUUUAAAUAAAUGUAAUGAAGAAUAAA